CUAGUUGGUCAUCAGGAUCUCGACUACAAAGACUUCCUUCUGCUUCACCUCGGCGCCAGAUUGUUUCACCUGCUCGCGUGCUCGCUGUUCGUGUUUUUUGCUUCACCUCACCUGUGCUUUUUUGGACACCACUCUGGGAUCACGGACACUGCCACUGGGAACCUCGCACUACCCCUCCUCCUUGCACCUUUUGAGUCACUCUUUGGACUAAACCUUUUUGUUAUCAACUUGA